rnacentral:rRNA from 1 species
GACGAACGCUGGCGGCGUGCUUAACACAUGCAAGUCGAACGGAAAGGCCCCUUUGGGGGUACUCGAGUGGCGCACGGGUGAGUAACACGUGAGUAACCUGCCCUUGACUUCGGGAUAACUUCAGGAAACUGGGGCUAAUACCGGAUAGGAAUCCUUGCUGCAUGGUGGGGGUUGGAAAGCUUCGGGGGGUUUGGUUGGCCCCGCGGGUUAUCACCUUGUUGUUGGGGUAGUGGGUUACCAAGGUUUUGACGGGUAGCCGGCCGGAGGGGGCGACCGGCCACAAUGGGGCUGAGAGAAGGCCCAGACUCCUAAGGGAGGGAACAGUGGGGAAGAUUGCACAAUGGGCGGAAGCCUGAUGCAGCAACGCCGCGGGCGGGAAGACGGCCUUCGGGUUGUAAAACGCGUUCAGCAGGGGCGAAGCUUGUGGUGACGGUACCUGCAGAAGAAGCACCGGCUAACUACGUG